rnacentral:tRNA from 4 species
GCCGAGGUGGCGUAGUUGGUAGCGCGUCGGACUCAUAAUCCGAAGGUCGAGGGUUCAAGUCCCUCUCUCGGCACCA